UGCCUGUUGUCUUAUGAUCAUAAGGAUAAAUGAGCCCCAUCGAGUAAUUAAUUUAUCCGUAUGAUCAUAAGACAGCAGACC
rnacentral:pre_miRNA from 1 species